rnacentral:rRNA from 1 species
UACCAGCACCCCGAGUGGUCGGGACGAUUAUUGGGCCUAAAGCAUCCAUAGCCGGUUUUACAAGUCCUCCGUUAAAUCCAGCUGCUUAACAGAUGGGCUGCGGAGGAUACUAUAAGACUAGGAGGCAGGAGAGGCAAGCGGUACUCAGUGGGGUAGGGGUAAAAUCCGUUGAUCCAUUGAAGACCACCAGUGGCGAAGGCGGCUUGCCAGAAUGCGCUCGACGGUGAGGGAUGAAAGCUGGGGGGAGCAAACCGG